AACGUAACAAGGUUUCCGUAGGUGAACUGCGGAAGGAUCAUUACCAAAUAAAACCAUAAAGUGUCUAGGGACAGCGACAAAGCUCGCGAGCCCUACGAGUCAUCCAAUGCCUUGGCCGCAAAGGUGCCGAUCAGGGGGACCCCCUCGACCACUCGACACAGGCGACCCGGGCGACGCCGCUGAGCGCCGCAGGCAGCCAGCCAACAAGCGUCGCCGUGAAUGGGCGUCUGCGUGUGUGAGAGGCUCCCAUCUGGGCACACGUUUGUCGGUCCUGCACAAAGGCACGGUGGCCCGUUCACCUUCUCACAACCCUCUGCGCACCCAUUCCAUGUUGCUUCCCCGCGCCCCACUCCGGGAGCGGGGGAGGUCCCCAACCGAAACUCCGCAGCGCGUGACCGCAGUCCGAAUGGAACACAAAGCAAAAACGUAAAAACUUUCAACAACGGAUCUCUUGGUUCCCGCAUCGAUGAAGAACGCAGCGAAAUGCGAUAAGUAAUGUGAAUUGCAGAAUUCAGUGAAUCAUCGAAUCUUUGAACGCACAUUGCGCCCCCUGGCAUUCCGGGGGGCAUGCCUGUUCGAGCCUCAGUGAAACCUCUCCGCCGCGCGAGCGCUCCCCUCUUUUGCGGAGGGGCGGCGAUCGGCGGUGGGGGUGGUGGCGGACGCAGACGCCCCUAAAAGCGUGUGCGCCGCUCAAAACCUCGGUCCGCGAGCCCGCAGGGCGAACCCGGCGUAGUGACUACAAUUCUCGCCGGCGAUUCAAGGCCCCCAGAAAGCGGCCCGGGACCUUUAAGCGCUCCGGCGCCGAACCCCACUGCGCUUGAGCUCGGAUCAGGUAGGGAUACCCGCUGAACUUAAGCAUAUCAUAAGAC
rnacentral:rRNA from 1 species